GACGAACGCUGGCGGCGUGCUUAACACAUGCAAGUCGAGCGGUAAGGCCCUUUCGGGGGUACACGAGCGGCGAACGGGUGAGUAACACGUGGGUGACCUGCCCUCAGCUCUGGGAUAAGCCUGGGAAACUGGGUCUAAUACUGGAUAUGACUCCACGGUGCAUGUCGUGGGGUGGAAAGCCUUGUGCGGCCGAGGAUGGGCCCGCGGCCUAUCAGCUUGUUGGUGGGGUGAUGGCCUACCAAGGCGACGACGGGUAGCCGGCCUGAGAGGGCGACCGGCCACACUGGGACUGAGACACGGCCCAGACUCCUACGGGAGGCAGCAGUGGGGAAUCUUGCGCAAUGGGCGAAAGCCUGACGCAGCGACGCCGCGUGAGGAUGACG
rnacentral:rRNA from 1 species